GGCGCCCAAGAGCCCGCAGGCGCGGGUGGCUUGGCCCGCGUGGGCUCCGAACUGCGGCGGCUCCGCUAGACAGUUGCAGAAGCUGGCGGACGGCCGGGACCCCCUGCCUUGCGCAGCCAGGCGUCGAGGAGGCGGCGGCGAGUGCUGCGGUGCUGGCUGGGUGGCCGAGUGGUCCCCGCAGCCUCUGGACCCAGCCAUGCUGCUCUGGAUGCAGGGCUUCGUGCUGGAGGCGGUGGCCUGCCAGGAUAACGAUGACUACUUACGCUACGGGAUCCUCUUCGAAGACCUGGAUUGCAAUGGGGACGGCGUGGUGGACAUCAUUGAGCUCCAGGAGGGGCUGAGAAACUGGAGCUCCGCGUUUGACCCCAACUCCGAGGAGCAUGGAUAGUGAUGGAUCAAUGACAGUAGACUGGGAUGAAUGGAAGUACUACUUUUUACUGCAUCCUGCAACAAAUAUCACUGAAAUGAUUCAUUUCUGGAAGCAUUCUACUUAUAAGAAAUUGCUUAGUUUUGAUGGUGUUCAUUUAGGAAUUCUUGAAAGAUUUAUAUUUGGCUCAUUGGCUGGUGUAACUGCCCAGACCUGUAUUUACCCCAUGGAGGUACUAAAGACCAGACUGGCUAUAGGUAAAACUGGAGAGUAUUCAGGGAUUAUUGAUUGUGGCAAGAAGCUUCUAAAACAAGAAGGUGUCAGAUCCUUUUUCAAAGGUUAUACUCCUAACUUGCUAGGCAUUGUACCUUAUGCCGGCAUAGAUCUUGCUGUUUAUGAGAUUUUGAAGAAUUUUUGGCUAGAAAAUUAUGCAGGAAACUCUGUGAAUCCUGGGAUAAUGAUUUUGGUGGGAUGUAGUACAUUGUCUAAUACUUGUGGUCAGUUAGCCAGUUUCUCUGUGAACCUUAUUAGAACUCGCAUGCAGGCUUCAGGCCCCAGUGGAAAAAGGAAAAACAACUUCUAUGAUUCAGCUCAUUCAAGAAAUAUAUACCAAAGAAGGAAAAUUGGGAUUUUACAGGGGUUUCACCUCAAACAUCAUAAAGGUGCUUCCUGCAGUAGGCGUUGGCUGUGUGGCCUAUGAGAAAGUGAAGCCACUUUUUGGAUUAACCUGGAAGUGAUAUAUAAAAUUGUUGUCAUUGUAAUCACUUAAUUGUAAGAUAAUACCUGUGUUAUAAAGAGAUGUUAUCUUUUCCUAAGAGGAAAGAAAUGUCAGAUAAUUGUUAAAAUAUUUUUUCAUUAUUACAAAAUACAUAAAUUAAAUAAUAAUUUUUAUAAAGUUCUUGAAUAAGUUAAAAUAUUUAAUAUCCAAAGAAUACUAUUUACAUUUUCUACUACUCUCCCUUGAAUCCUAAUUUAAAAUUUGUUCUUGAUUUGAUUUGAAUGUAACAUAAAACAUUUGGUCAGUUAUAGGAGUUUAUCUUUGAAAACGUUUUUACAUUUGAAAACUUAUUUUAAAAAAGCUGAGCUUGAAAAUGCUUUAUACACUAACAGAAAAAUCAGUGCAUUUAAAAUUGAUGUUAUAGCAAAUAAUUUGGAGUCUGUUUCUUUUACUUAAGCAAAAUGGAAAAUUGGUUUCUAAUUCCU
rnacentral:lncRNA from 1 species